rnacentral:rRNA from 1 species
UACAGAGGGUGCAAGCGUUAAUCGGAAUUACUGGGCGUAAAGCGUGCGUAGUCGGCUUUUUAAGUCGGGUGUGAAAUCCCCGGGCUCAACCUGGGAAUUGCAUUCGAUACUGGAUGGCUAGAGUUCGGCAGAGGGAAGUGGAAUUUCUGGUGUAGCGGUGAAAUGCGUAGAUAUCAGAGGGAACAUCAGUGGCGAAAGCGACUUCCUGGACCAGAACUGACGAUCAGGCACGAAAGCGUGGGGAGCAAACAGG